rnacentral:rRNA from 1 species
UAGUAAGAAUAAUUUUUAGAUUAAGUUUCUCGAAACCUAAAGAGCUACCUUAGUUUUAGGUGUAGCCUUAAUAAGAGUGAGUGUGGCAUAACUCUACUUAAAAUCUAAGGUAGAAAUUAGAUGUUAUUCGUUUUAGGUGAUAGCUAGUUAUAAUAGAAAGAUAUAUAAGUAUUGGAUAUAAAUUUGUUAUAUAUUUGGCGUAAAUAUAUAAUAAUUUAUUUUUUUAGUUAUGUGAGGAUAAGCUCGCAUAAAUUUAUUUAAUUAAAAAUUAUAUAUAAAUCUAAGCUUGACAUUGGCUAUGAUACUGAAUUUUUUAAAAAUACAUAUAUAAUAUAUAGGUUUUGUGUAAUAUUAGGUUUGAUAUUAUUCAAUUAUGUAAUUAAAACAUAAUUGAUUUAUGCUAAAAUGAGUAUUAUUAUAAAUUAAAUUAAAAAAUAAAUUGAAUUUUUUUCAAAAAACUUCAUAGUAUUAUAAAAUAUAAUAUAGGAACUCGGCAAAAUUUAGCUCCGCCUGUUUAGCAAAAACAUGUCUCUUUG